GUAGCUCAUUUGGUUAGAGCAUGGUGCUGAUAUUGCCAGGGUUGCAGGUUCGAUCCCCUUACA
rnacentral:tRNA from 1 species